rnacentral:rRNA from 1 species
GGGGAAUAUUGCACAAUGGGCGCAAGCCUGAUGCAGCCAUGCCGCGUGUAUGAAGAGGGCCUUCGGGUUGUAAAGUACUUUCAGCGAGGAGGAAGGCAUCGUGGUUAAUAACCGCAGUGAUUGACGUUACUCGCAGAAGAAGCACCGGCUAACUCCGUGCCAGCAGCCGCGGUAAUACGGAGGGUGCAAGCGUUAAUCGGAAUUACUGGGCGUAAAGCGCACGCAGGCGGUCUGUCAAGUCGGAUGUGAAAUCCCCGGGCUCAACCUGGGAACUGCAUUCGAAACUGGCAGGCUAGAGUCUUGUAGAGGGGGGUAGAAUUCCAGGUGUAGCGGUGAAAUGCGUAGAGAUCUGGAGGAAUACCGGUGGCGAAGGCGGCCCCCUGGACAAAGACUGACGCUCAGGUGCGAAAGCGUGGGGAGCAAAC